UACGGAGGAUCCAAGCGUUAUCCGGAAUCAUUGGGUUUAAAGGGUCCGUAGGCGGUUUGGUAAGUCAGUGGUGAAAGCCCAUCGCUCAACGGUGGAACGGCCAUUGAUACUGCCAUACUUGAAUUAUUAGGAAGUAACUAGAAUAUGUAGUGUAGCGGUGAAAUGCUUAGAGAUUACAUGGAAUACCAAUUGCGAAGGCAGGUUACUACUAAUGGAUUGACGCUGAUGGACGAAAGCGUGGGUAGCGAACAGG
rnacentral:rRNA from 1 species